AUCAACCUCUGUCGCAGGGACUUUCCACCGGCUGGGAAAGACCCUGCUAUCGGCUGGUCACGUGUCUCCCAGAAUCUGGGAGAUAACAAACAAUUUCAAUUAGGGUGGGUACCUAAGUACGUUUUGUCAUUGAGCAAGGAGUGAGCGAAGAAAUAACCCAGAAAUCAUGCAGGAAAUAUUUACAAAAUUGUAUAUUUUAUUUGUCAUGAAGACUAUCAAUGUUACACAACAGUAAAUAUCAAAUUUCAUUGUGGCAGAAUGUCGGUGAGCAAAGAUAGAUCAGAUUUCAAUAGACAAAUUAUGCCGAUACAGCUCGUCGAAGAAAUCAACACGUCGCAAACGUUACAAGAAAAUAUAUUUCUAUACCAGUACCGACCGAUGUGGCUGUUAUUUAGCUGUUGAUGUCUAUCCUAAAGGAUUUAUUUAAUACUGAGAUGUGUAACGAAAUAUAUAGAGAUCUUUUGAUUUCUGAAAUAUCGCAAACUAUGUUGCUUUGUAAACAAUGCUACUCGGACUGCUGAAACUUCGGAGCCAUCCUCAGAGCUUGAUGCUCAAGAAAUAUGUCAAAGUAUACCUCCCUGUUAUCAAACCUACGGUAAAAUAAUCCGACAAUAGCCUACUCAAAGAUAAGUGAAAGACUCGUCUGUGCGUGUAUGUUACAAAUACGAAUACUGAAUAUGUUUGACAUUUAGGACAUUUAGAGAAUGCAGUCCUCAUGAUAAAUUUGAUAAAUAGCUUUAAUUGUGACAUUAGCUUUACGGUAAUGAAAUUACUUUACUAUAAUGAAGUACUCUGUGAAAUAUAAUACUGAAUCAAACUCUAAGACUAUGUAAGUGUUAAUAUAUCUGUGGUGGGUACA